CGGUUGUAGCUAAAUAAAUGUUGAGAAGUUAACUGGCCGAUUGUCGUAAGAUUUUGCAAUCUCCAUCGACGAAUCUGCCUCUUGAUCUUCUCACACUU